CAGUAGCCGCGGUAAUACGUAGGUCCCGAGCGUUGUCCGGAUUUAUUGGGCAUAAAGCGAGCGCAGGCGGUUAGAUAAGUCUGAGGUUAAAGGCUGUGGCUUAACCAUAGUACGCUUUGGAAACUGUUUAACUUGAGUGCAAGAGGGGAGAGUGGAAUUCCAUGUGUAGCGGUGAAAUGCGUAGAUAUAUGGAGGAACACCGGUGGCGAAAGCGGCUCUCUGGCUUGUAACUGACGCUGAGGUUCGAAAGCGUGGGGAGCAAACAGGAUUAGAUACCCCCGUAGUCCCUGUCUCUUAUACC
rnacentral:rRNA from 1 species